CGCGGGCCGGGGAGGAGACGCAGCGCGCGGCGGCGCUGGAGGGGCGACGAGGGCGGUAUAGCUGCCCUGGAGGGGCCGGCCCUCGGGUGUGACAGUCCCUGCCUGGGAAAGCGAAGGAUGGCGGAGUCGAGACCCGUUCCCGGAGCUUCAAGGGGGCAGGGAGGAAGGGAACAGAUAAAACCCACAGAGAAAACUGCCGUCUAACACCAGAGAAUGCUCUCGUGCUUGCAGUGCCCCGGAUGAUAACGAGGAAGAUGUCAUGCAGAACUUUGACUCUCUCUCACCUCUUACGGACUUCUGCUGACCAUAGAAGGGCAGUUUGGGUCGUUACGUCCCUAAAUUCCAAAUUAAGAGCAAUUUCUCAAAGUGGAGUCCAGUUUCUAAGAUCCCCUGGAUUUCUGGACUGCUCUUAAAAGCUUCCUUCAGGACUUUUAACCUUGUCUUCAUGAAGGGAAACAGACCACUAAGGGCAAACUCACCACCUGGGCAAUGCCAAUGGGAAUGGAAGAUUUAAGAACAAGUCUUGGGGGACGGGGCAAAGACAGACUGUUAGGAAGGAAGCUAACACAUAUUAAUAACUUUAUGUUUGAGUCUCUGUGCUGAGCAUUGACAUAAUUGCUGUUAUUAACCCCAUUUUACAGCGGAAGAAACUGAGACUUAAGAAGUUAAGAAACCUACCCAAGGUCACCCAACUAGAAAGAUACAUGGAGAGAAAUGAGAAAACUGCACCAUAACUCAGAAAAGGGAAAGACCAGGAGGACACACCCAGGGAGAACUUCCUGAGUCUUUUUCUCACCCCAGCCCCCUUCCACAAAUUUGCCUUGGUUUCUUCUUGAUUGUGUAUAUGGUAUGAAUUGUAGUAUUUAUUUCAGGCAUUUAAGUCCUGAUUACCCAACCGAAACAUGAGGUAAGAACUCUGUCGUCUGCUUCUCUUGCAUCUCCCCUCACGUCCACACACAGUGCUGAAGUCAUUAGCCCAGGAAAUGCUCCUGAAUCCUGGUCAUUACACUUCCAUUUCAUGCUCUGCUUGGGGCAAAUGCUCUGGAAAUGGGCUUGCAUCUAAUGGGCUUGUCUGUCUUUUCAAGUCAUUUGGAGAUAUGUGAGCCAAGUCAAUUUAAUCUAAAGGACUGAGAGGAGUGAGGUGUACAUGUUUAUUUAAAUGCUAGGCACCAAAGAAGUAAACCUCAGAGAAAGCAGAAGCCUGGGCCUCCUGAGGGAUGCUCCUGGAAACAUGGCCUUCACUUAACCAGUGUCAGAGCAAACACCUGGAGGGGUGAAAUCAUAAGCAGAGCACAUAAGCUUCGUGGCAUUUCAGUAAUUCAGUUGUUGCUGGGCCAGAAUCUCCCGGCAUCAUUCAGAACAUCUUAGGACGAAAAGCUGCUAUGAGGAAAUUCAAGAAGCACGUAGAAUUCGAAUCCAUCCUUCUUCUUGGCAGAAACAGAAUUAAAACUGGAAUGUAGCUCUCCAUGGCAACCUUAUCAGUGUUUGGGGUCUGCUUAUUUCUGGGUACCAUGUUCCAGGAAAGUGUUGCAACUAAACUUGUUACCAUUUUUGCCUUAGCUAUGGGCCUCAGGCUAAGCAAGGAUUUGGCCACACUCACUGUUAAAAUCUCUGCUUAUCAAACUGGAGCAGGCAUGAUAUUG
ensembl:lncRNA